GAUGAACGCUGGCGGCGUGCCUAAUACAUGCAAGUCGAACGCACAGCGAAAGGUGCUUGCACCUUUCAAGUGAGUGGCGAACGGGUGAGUAACACGUGGACAACCUGCCUCAAGGCUGGGGAUAACAUUUGGAAACAGAUGCUAAUACCGAAUAAAACUUAGUGUCGCAUGACACAAAGUUAAAAGGCGCUUCGGCGUCACCUAGAGAUGGAUCCGCGGUGCAUUAGUUAGUUGGUGGGGUAAAGGCCUACCAAGACAAUGAUGCAUAGCCGAGUUGAGAGACUGAUCGGCCACAUUGGGACUGAGACACGGCCCAAACUCCUACGGGAGGCUGCAGUAGGGAAUCUUCCACAAUGGGCGAAAGCCUGAUGGAGCAACGCCGCGUGUGUGAUGAAGGCGUUCGGGUCGUAAAGCACUGUUGUAUGGGAAGAACAGCUAGAAUAGGAAAUGAUUUUAGUUUGACGGUACCAGACCAGAAAGGGACGGCUAAAUACGUG
rnacentral:rRNA from 1 species